GGGGAUGCAGGAGCGAUGGCUCUGUCACUCUGCAGCCGUGCAGGCACGUGUGGCUUUUGCAAGGCAGCCCAGUGAGGCUCAGCAGAAACCAGAUGUGGGGCAUAAACUGCUCAGCAGCAUCCCUGACACUAGCACUUUGUUUCUGUGCAGGUGCUUUGCAGCUUGUCCCUGUGAGGAGAUCUGAAGCUGCAGAGCCCUUUGCUUGAGAUAUUUCCCUGGCUUCAGGACAGAGACCAGGCAGAAAGGCCGUUCCUGAGAACAGAGGAGCAGAGCCACGGCUGGGGCUGGAAUUGUGCCUGGUCAGGAAGCGCCUGGCCGCAGGGCAGAGCUGGGCUGGCAGAUGAGCACAGCCUUAGAUGGCAAGCAGCUCUGCACAGCCAGGCCCUUUUCAUCUCUCUGAAGUGCCUUAUAUAGUGCACCCAGAACUUAUAAAUAAAUGCUUUUUGUCAUGA